rnacentral:piRNA from 1 species
UAAAAGCAAGCAAACAAAAAUUCCCGGUAC